AGGGUUUGAUUCUGGCUCAGGAUGAACGCUGGCGGCGUGCUUAACACAUGCAAGUCGAACGAAGCACUCUAUUUGAUUUUCUUCGGAAAUGAAGAUUUUGUGACUGAGUGGCGGACGGGUGAGUAACGCGUGGGUAACCUGCCUCAUACAGGGGGAUAGCAGUUGGAAACGACUGGUAAAACCGCAUAAGCGCACGGUGUCGCAUGACACAGUGUGAAAACACUCCGGUGGUAUGAGAUGGACCCGCGUCUGAUUAGCUAGUUGGUGAGGUAACGGCCCACCAAGGCGACGAUCAGUAGCCGGCCUGAGAGGGUGAACGGCCACAUUGGGACUGAGACACGGCCCAA
rnacentral:rRNA from 1 species